CUCCGGUGAUCCCCGCCGGACCCGACUGCUAUCAGAGUGGGACUAAGCCAUGCGAGUCAACGCAGCAAUGCGUGGCAUACGGCUCAGUAACACGUAGUCAACAUGCCCAGGGGACGUGGAUAACCUCGGGAAACUGAGGAUAAACCGCGAUAGGCCAAGGUUUCUGGAAUGGACACUGGCUGAAACCUAUAUGGCCCCUGGAUUGGACUGCGGCCGAUCAGGCUGUUGGUGAGGUAAUGGCCCACCAAACCUGUAACCGGUACGGGCUUUGAGAGAAGGAGCCCGGAGAUGGGCACUGAGACAAGGGCCCAGGCCCUAUGGGGCGCAGCAGGCGCGAAACCUCUGCAAUAGGCGAAAGCUUGACAGGGUUACUCUGAGUGAUGCCCGCUAAGGGCAUCUUUUGGCACCUCUAAAAAUGGUGCAGAAUAAGGGGUGGGCAAGUCUGGUGUCAGCCGCCGCGGUAAUACCAGCACCCCGAGUGGUCGGGACGAUUAUUGGGCCUAAAGCAUCCGUAGCUUGUUCUGCAAGUCCUCCGUUAAAUCCACCUGCUCAACAGAUGGGCUGCGGGGGAUACUACAGGGCUAGGAGGCGGGAGAGGCAAACGGUACUCAGUGGGUAGGGGUAAAAUCCUCUGAUCCACUGAAGACCACCAGUGGCGAAGGCGGUUUGCCAGAACGCGCUCGACGGUGAGGGAUGAAAGCUGGGGGAGCAAACCGGAUUAGAUACCCGGGUAGUCCCAGCUGUAAACGAUGCAGACUCGGUGAUGGGUUGGCUUUGAGCCAACCCAGUGCCGCAGGGAAGCCGUUAAGUCUGCCGCCUGGGGAGUACGGUCGCAAGACUGAAACUUAAAGGAAUUGGCGGGGGAAGCA
rnacentral:rRNA from 1 species